UUGAACGUGCUUGCACGGACUUGACGUUGGUUUACCAGCGAGUGGCGGACGGGUGAGUAACACGUAGGUAACCUGCCCCAAAGCGGGGGAUAACAUUUGGAAACAGAUGCUAAUACCGCAUAACAAUUUGAAUCGCAUGAUUCAAAUUUAAAAGAUGGCUUCGGCUAUCACUUUGGGAUGGACCUGCGGCGCAUUAGCUUGUUGGUAGGGUAACGGCCUACCAAGGCUGUGAUGCGUAGCCGAGUUGAGAGACUGAUCGGCCACAAUGGAACUGAGACACGGUCCAUACUCCUACGGGAGGCAGCAGUAGGGAAUCUUCCACAAUGGGCGCAAGCCUGAUGGAGCAACACCGCGUGAGUGAAGAAGGGUUUCGGCUCGUAAAGCUCUGUUGUUAGAGAAGAACGUGCGUGAGAGCAACUGUUCACGCAGUGACGGUAUCUAACCAGAAAGUCACGGCUAACUACGUGCCAGCAGCCGCGGUAAUACGUAGGUGGCAAGCGUUAUCCGGAUUUAUUGGGCGUAAAGCGAGCGCAGGCGGUUUGAUAAGUCUGAUGUGAAAGCCUUUGGCUUAACCAAAGAAGUGCAUCGGAAACUGUCAGACUUGAGUGCAGAAGAGGACAGUGGAACUCCAUGUGGUAGC
rnacentral:rRNA from 1 species